UACAGAGGGGGCAAGCGUUGUUCGGAAUCAUUGGGCGUAAAGCGCACGUAGGCGGCCUCAUAAGUCGGAUGUGAAAUCCCUCGGCUCAACCGAGGACGUGCAUCCGAAACUGUGAAGCUCGAGUAUGGAAGAGGGUCGCGGAAUUCCCGGUGUAGAGGUGAAAUUCGUAGAUAUCGGGAGGAACACCAGUGGCGAAGGCGGCGACCUGGGCCAAUACUGACGCUGAGGUGCGAAAGCGUGGGGAGCAAACAGG
rnacentral:rRNA from 1 species